UGAUGACCUGGGUAAGAGGUGAUAAGUCGUCUAGACAGCAGCAUCAACUCCUCUGGUGUCUUCUACACUGACUCUAAGGCAGAGAGGUCUGCAGAGACGGUGAGGAACCUGUGUGUUUCCCAACCUACGCACAGUAUGUGUUGAUGAUGGAGUACUGUAUUCCAGUAGUGUGUUCAGACACACAGUAUCCACCCUAAUGUUGUAUAUUCUGUCUCUGACAGGAAAGACUACCGCCCCACGUGGAACCUGAGACAGUCUGAGCCAAUUGCUGGCAACUAUUACCAAUCAACCUAGAGCUUACAUUAAGGAUGACAAGGACCAGCUGACUGUAGUGACGGACCGUUCUCAGGGAGGGGGCAGCAUCCAGGAUGGAUCAGGAGAUCAUGGUAACACACACACUCUCUCACUACUCUUCAUUUUUCAUGUGGUAGGAUUUUGGCAUCAAAGACAUCUGUUGUGUGUGUUUCACGUCUCAUCUCUUUCCCCCGGCUCCACACCCGGUCUCUUUAUCACUGUCACAUCUGACACACUCCAUCCACACGACCCCCCCAGCUCCACCGAGGUUGCGUGACGACGUCCGGGGUGUAGGUGAGCCCCUCAAUGAGACGUCUGACAUUUACCCAGAAGGCCUGGUGGUUCGUGGUCGCCACCUCCUUUCCCUCAGCCCCCCUGCCACGCUGCUGACCACACACGCCCCCUAGCACAGGAAGUGGUACUGCAGCCUCUCAUCACAUUCACCGACGGAGAGCUGCACCCGAGUACCAGGCUGAGGUGAGAGAGGAGCCCAUCACAAAUGAUUCUUUCCUCAAGUUCUCCUCCUUGCCUCUUUCUCAACCGUAUUGGAGAAGGUUCAAGGUCCCGCCCCUCAGGCCUUCUUCAAUGGAUUUUGAGAAAGAGGUGAGGCAUCUAGGAAAGGAGGAGAGUGAAGGAGGAGGCUGAUUGAGGAACAGUUAUCAGCCUGCAGAUGAAAUGUGUCACUUUGGACUAUGAAGAACCCAUCUUUGAACCCCCCCACCUCAGUUCUCUGGGCUACAGGCAGUGCUGCCCCCUGCUGUUCACUGUUGACAGUGUCCAUUGGACCAGGCACAGUGCCCAGACUGGAGCAUCAGUACCAAGCUUCAGAGAGCAAGGAGCAUCAAGCCUGUUACUGUUAAUCUGCAGAAGCUGUUCUCCACUCUAGAUGUGCUGGGGGUGUCCGAGAUGAACCUGUCAGCCAAUCAGUGGAAGGAUGAGAUGACUCGUCUGGACUGGAAGGCGGAGUCAGGUACACAUCCAACAGGUGUAACAAAUCAACUCUCUGCUUACUCCACCUUAGGACACAUGAAGACCGCUGACCUGCUUUAGUGUAGCAAUUCCUUUAUAGCUGUUGUGGGGCUUGUUGCUGGUCAUUGCAGAGCUUGAUGCUGUUGUCUCCGUUUGCCUCAGGUGAGAAGCCCCUACCGAAGAGAGGGGGAGACCCCCUGUGUGGGAGGUGACCUCAAGCCCAUGGAGAACACCUUCCUGCCCCGUGUCAGGCAGAGAUAGUCAAUCACCAACCUCCGUUCCAGAACUAGCCAAUGAUCAAUCCCUGUGGCUUAGCAAUUUGAACUCACUGCCUUGAUUGGAUGUAAUAAUUUGGAGUCUGAGUACAUGAAGAUGAAUCAAAUGAACAGGAUUUCUUGUCAUAAUUGAGUUGACCGGAGUGGGUUUUAAAUGAGCUCCUAUAAAAGAGCUUCUUUGAAGCCACUGAACAAUUCCUUUAUGUUGUAAUUUUAGUGCCAAUACCACAACCUUUCCAGUAUUUCAAAGCCAUUUUCCGUAACUACUUAUUACUAAAUCGUCAUUUGCUUCUAACAUCAAACUAUUCACARACCUGUUACCAAUAUAUAUUUUCUGAUUCACAUACUGGUGCACAUUCUCUACAUGCCGAGUGAAUAUUCUGUGCAAUAAGCGAUUUUUAUUCCUCUCGAAUGUGCCUUUCGUAAAUGAGUGGUUAAGGCUGCAUUUACAUGGGCAAAAGAUCCAAUCUGAUUGGUCAGAAGACCAAUUAGUGGCAAAAGAUGAGAAUUGAACAGCUUGUGUGUUGAAUCAGAGUGAACAAUGUGCAGCUGAUAUUAAACCCAGGUUGUUUCUCAGUGUGUUCACUCACCCAUUCCUCCACAUGACUAUAAUAUGUACUACAAUGGAAGUCAAAGCACAUUGACAAUUACACAACAGCUGUUAUAAAAAUGAACCAUCAGUAAAAGCUAUUUUUCACCAGAAUAAAUGACUUCUCCACACUUGCCAUAAAGACUUUUAUUAGACUGUCACAACAGUCAUAAAUAAAACAGAAUUGAUGCUUCACUUCAGUAUGAAGCCAGUAUGUGUAUUUCCAAUACAGGGCUAACUAGACAUCCCAUAAUGAAGUUGCCCAUAGAUGCUGACACUGGGUCAGUUUAGCAUUCUCCCCACUAAUGGUAAUGUAGAGGAUUGGGGGAGGGGAAGCUGGUCCUAGAUUGGUACCAAGGCGGAAACUUCACCCCGGAGUUCAAAGUUAGUUAUGUCUGGGGCCUGGAGUUUCAKCUGGUUGCUGCGCCAUGAUUGUGUCCAGUAUACCUUAGUGGACAGAUUCUGCUGAGCUGGACAUGAGGAUACCAAGUGGGAGGGAAGAAAAGAGAGGAGACUCGCUCCACCAUCACUCCAUCUGGUCAGUCUGUUCCAGGUCAUGGGAGUAACAGCAUUUUUCACCGUGUGUGCAUUUACCCUGGAGAGAGA
ensembl:lncRNA